GCGUGCAUAGUGUUUACUUCAUAUUUUUCAUUAACAAUUGUUGAAAACGUGAUACUUAUUUAUGAAAAGUAGUAUUUAUUUAAAAAUGGUAAAUAAAUGUAUUGUUCAUGGGUGUACAAGUGGACUAGUCAAGUUUCGUAAUAGGAAUGCUAAAUUAAAUCGGAGAAAUACGUCUUUAUUCACUGUACCACAGCACCCUGAUCUGGUAAAAUUUCGGAGUAGUGGAUUAAACCAGCAAUUAAUACCAAAAAAACAAUACGUUUGUGAGUUACACUUUAACGAAGAGGAUAUCAUUAAGAGUGAUAAAAUAAAAAUGGCUAAUGGGAUUGAAGAAAUAUUUAGGGAAAGGUAUUCACUUAAGCCCGAAGCUAUUCCAACGUUAAAUCCUACCAAGUUGUGUAAAAUCAGGAGUAAUACUAAUAGUAGUAGUAAUACAGUUAAAACUCCAAAUGUUGUAUGUGAUAUACUAUCAACAAAUGGAAGUGUUAAUAAUGUUGAUACCAGUGGAAGUGUAGCAAAGAAAAAUGAGAAAAUGAUAAUAAUUAAUAAUUCUGUGGUAAAAAUUGUGACCGUCCAAAAAGUACAGUUGCUUCACUAACUUCUGAAGAAAUUAAUAAUUAUGAGAAUGAAGAACAGAUAAAAAAAAUUCUUCACACGAAUUGCCUGGUUCAAAGAUUGAUGUUAAGAAGUAAUCUACAUCAACAAUUAUUAAUGUGCUAGAAUUCAAAGCUUUACCAAAAAAAUGGCUAAAAAGUAAAGUAAAGAAUUUGAAAUUUCGUGUUACAAUUAAUGACAAAUCCAAUAUCUCGGUGUUUAUCAUCGUGCAUUGGUGUGUCACAGCCUAACGAAAAGUACAAGAAACAAAUGAAUGGUUUCCGAUGUGUUGCUUGCCGAAAAUUGCGACACAAAUUACUGAAUCAUGAUUAUCUGAUAUCAAAGAUCGCUAUGAUAGUUUGAAAUAUCAGGACAGUCUCAAAGAAAAGCAAAUUAAGCGUCUUAAACGAAAAAUUAAAUCACUCUUACAAAUAAUUAAAGCGCAAAAAGUGAACUCUAUGGCAAAUAAAGAUGAAGCUUUAAGAAAUGAGAUUUCUAUCCCACCUCCGUUACAACAAUUAGCAGUCCGUGCUUGUUUUAACGCUGUAAAGGCUAAAACUACAAAACAAAGAAGAUAUACGGUACAUUGGGUUUAUGAAUGUUUAUUACUUUGCAUAAAAAAUGCAUCUGUGUAUGAUCGACUCAGAGAAAGUUAAAUCCUCUCUUUUCUUUGCAAAAACACACUUAAUAGAUACAUCCAGAAGUUGGGAAAACUCAGUAUUUCUGCUGGUAAAUGUCGGAAUAAAUAAUUAAAACAUACAUCAAAUUUAUGUAAUAAGUGACUUUCUAGAAUAUUCACUAUGGCACGGUCUCGGAGUAAUCCAUCACCAGGACCAGGGACAGCGCGUUAUACGCACGUCGGUUGUUACUCCGCGCAACCAGUGACCAAAACAGUACCUGGAGAUUUGAAAUUAUUCGUAGGACUUAAAAAGCAAUCGUCGCAAGUGAAUUAAAAAUAUCUAUUACUUAUUUAUUUUAAGUAGCCUUUUAUGCUAUCCUAAUUUACAUAACUCAACUUACAGAUUUCAUCAAUAACAGUUGCUAAUUACAUAUAAAAAAAAAAGAAUGAUAAACAAUUUUACAUUAUAAACGAAUAAAGCUAACAAAAAUAUAAUAGAAGAAAUCUUAUAAUCCACUUCUGUAUGGUAUAUCCUAAAACAUGGAUCAACAUAUAACGCUACAUUACAUUCCUUGCAUUCAUACCUGGUUUCUCUACCAAUUCUGUGAUUACUGCAUACUGCACAUUUUCGAAGAGGAUUUUUUUUUUUUUUUGGCAGACGGAUUCAUAUAUUUGCUUGAACAAUACCUUUCAAUAAGACGUAAUGGGCUACCAUCCAUAUUACUACCUCUUCGGGCCCAUAGAACUCUUGUAGUCUAGAAUACUUACGUCUGCUGUAUAUAUCGAUGGGCUCCUAAGAACGUAUAUAUACGCCUACCGUGCAUAUUGAUGGAUUUCGCAGAACGUAUAUUUACGUCUACCGUAUAUAUUGAUGGACUUCUAAGAAUGUAUAUAUACGUUUACCGCAGUGAAAGGGUUAAAAAUGUUGGAAUUUAAAGCUAAUGACAAAAAACUACUUAAGAAAAAAAGCCGGAACACAAGAAGGAGAAAUUUGCAAAUGAAAGAGAAGAAGUUAAAAAAUUCUUGUUCGCAAUCACUUCCAGUACUCUUACCAUAUUGAAAAUGACCUUACAAGCAACUCUUGAACUGGAAGAAUUUUUACACAAAGAAUGCAACUACGAAUAUUUAUUUAUUGACGUCUCACCUUAAUCAAGAUCAACUGGAAAAAUUUUUUGCUAUCAUAAAAAGUGUUUGUUGCUGUAAUGAUCAUUCAGACACCAUUCUAUUUGGACAGGUUCUCCAAUGACUAUGUUCAUAUUUGCUAGUCACCAAAAAGUCACAAAAGAGUCUAAUGUGAGGUCAUUUCAAUAGUUUGCCUUUAAGAUGUUAAAAAUAAAAAAGAAAUGUUGUUCUAAUAAAUAAUUGAGUAGUUAA